rnacentral:rRNA from 1 species
CUGGUCUUGACAUCCCGUUGACGCAUGAGCAAAGUCAUGUUUCCUUCAGGACAGCGGAGACAGGUGGUGCAUGGUUGUCGUCAGCUCGUGUCGUGAGAUGUUGGGUUAAGUCCCGCAACGAGCGCAACCCCUAUUUCCAGUAGCCAGCAGGCAAAGCUGGGCACUCUGGAGAGACUGCCCGGGAUAACCGGGAGGAAGGCGGGGAUGACGUCAAAUCAUCAUGCCCCUUAUGAUCAGGGCUACACACGUGCUACAAUGGCGUAAACAAAGGGAAGCGAGACGGCGACGUUAAGCAAAUCCCAAAAAUAACGUCUCAGUUCGGAUUGUAGUCUGCAACUCGACUACAUGAAGCUGGAAUCGCUAGUAAUCGCGAAUCAGAAUGUCGCGGUGAAUACGUUCCC